UUAGGUGUCUGAGACGGAAGUUCAGAAAGAUUUGUACUUAUGCCGCGAAAAUCUGAUAUUUGAUUUUAUUCUAUUCUGUGCCGUUAUCUUAGAUUAUUAGGAAAGUAUGACAAUACAUGUAUGGCAAUAGUAAGCCUGAGCAAAAUAAGGACGUCGUGGGUGUCAUUUGCUGUCAAACUGAACAGCAGAAGUCUUCGCAGAGCGUGCUCACCGUCGACACACUCCAGAUGUGGAUUUUACAGACUUGAGAAAAUUGAGGCUGUUUCUGACAAAGAUUGGCAAGUUCUGGAUGGCCAAAGCCGUGAACUGGGGGGAGGAUCCAUCAUGUUCUGCUCUUGACACCUUGACUCUCUGAGGAGCUUUCUCCAGCAAGUUCUGCAGGGGUUGCAGCAAAUGAGCUACACUAGUGAGGCCGUGAAGACGUUUCUUUUUUGGGGCCAGAUCCUGGGAAGACUUUGUUGGUAUCCUUGUGUUACUGAGGAUGAGAGGAGCCAGAGACUCCUGCUGUGUGUUUGAGCUGUCUGUACAGCGCUGAGCCGCUGAAUGCUGUCGAACCAAAAGCCAACAUGUGGAUCAAGGUGGUUUAGCCCAGAAGAAGAGACAAAGAAGAAUGAUGAUGCUUCCACAGAGCCACAGGGAGCCGUUUUUGUCUGUCAUUAAAGGGCCUGUUGCCCAUUCUUCCAUGAUCCAGCGCCAGCUGGACUCUCCCUUGCCAUAUCAGAGAGACCAGACCAUAGCUGAUGACCCCUCCACUCCUUCAGUGGUCC